rnacentral:rRNA from 1 species
GUCGAGAAUCUUUCACAAUGGGGGCAACCCUGAUGGAGCGACGCCGCGUGGAGGAUAAGGUCUUCGGAUUGUAAACUCCUGUCAUGCGUGAACAAGGUUGCUUGGUUAAUACCUGGGCAAUUUGAUGGUAACGCAAGAGGAAGAGACGGCUAACUCUGUGCCAGCAGCCGCGGUAAUACAGAGGUCUCAAGCGUUGUUCGGAAUCACUGGGCGUAAAGGGUGCGUAGGUGGCGUGGUAAGUCAGAUGUGAAAGCCCGGGGCUCAACCUCGGAACUGCAUCCGAUACUGCCAUGCUAGAGUACUGGAGAGGUGACUAGAAUUCUCGGUGUAGCAGUGAAAUGCGUAGAUAUCGAGAGGUAUGCCAAAGGCGUAGGCAGGUCACUGGACAGUUACGGACACUGAGGCACGAAGGCCAGGGGAGCGAACGGGAUUAGAAACCCUUGUAGUCC